rnacentral:rRNA from 1 species
AUUUAAUGGCCGCGGUAUUUUGACCGUGCAAAGGUAGCAUAAUCAUUAGCUUAUUAAUUGUAAGAUUGUAUGAAUGGUUGGACGAAAUAUUGACUGUCUCAUUAUUAAUAUUUUGAAUUUAAAUUUUUAGUUAAAAAGCUUAAAUUUUUUUAAAGGACGAGAAGACCCUAUAGAUCUUUAUUUUCAUUAUUAUGUUAUUUUUUGUUUAGAUUUAUAUUUUUUGAAUUUUUAGUUGGGGUGAUUUUUAGAUAUAACUAACUCUUUAUUUUUUUUUUCAUUAAUUUUUGUUUAAUUGAUCUUUUAUUAUUGUUCAUAAAAUUAAAAUACCUUAGGGAUAACAGCGUAAUUCUUUUUGANAGUUCAUAUUGACAAAGGAAAUUGCGACCUCGAUGUUGAAUUAAAAUUAAUAUUAGG